UUGGUGCAUAUUGAAGGUAGGCGAUUUCUCUCUCCCUAUUCCUCUCUUUCUUUUAUGUUGGUUGGUGGUAGGGUUCUCAUGAAUGAUUAUAUUGUCGAUCCUUAGGUUAAGCUAGGCUCUUGAGGAUCUAGGAGAAAGAAGAUAAAUCCAAAAAGAAGGUACGGAUUCUCUUACGUACCCUAAGCAGGUGGUUAGACCUUUACUCUAAUUAACACAUAUUUUCAUAUAUUGUUCUUGUUUUAUUUUCGAAAUAAUUUUCUAUGAUUGUAUGAUUUAGAAUAAGUUGUGUACUUGAAUCAUAAAAUCUGAAGAAGAAAAAGAAACAACUCUAAUUAGAACAUAUAGGAUCAUCAAGUUUAUUUGCACGUAUUCAUUAAGUUUAUUAUUUCAAGCAUGAAAUAUAUUACAAUGAUUAUAUGACUUCUAAUUUUGAUAUUUUUGUAUGAAUUAAAACCCAAAUAUGAAAAUCGAUCCUUAGGUUAUGAUUAUUAGGUUUAUGUUAAUAUAUAUGUUUCUAAGGUUUUAACUUAGUUUAUAUCUUUUUGUCUUUAAAUCGAUUGCUAUGAUUUUUGUUAUGACUAAGAGUUAUGAUAAGGUUAUAUGAAUUAAAUCAUUAAUUAUGGAAAUCCAUCUCUAGGUUAUGCAUAAUUAGAGUUAACUAGUAAUUCGAAGUGAAGAAAAUAAGAGAAAAUAUUUAAGAUGUAAUUGAUUUAAAAAUCAAACCAAUCUUAAACUUGUAGAAAUUGCAUGUCUUAAGAUUCACUCAUGAAAAGUAGGUAAUUGCAUGUAUAGGUCCAUCAAUUAAAUUGGGGUUUCUUAUGUUACUUUAAAAUCUUGGUAUAAGUGUAAAUGAACUUCUUUAAAAUAUUUACGAAUUUUAUUCCUUAAUUCGUUAGAGUUCUGAUUAAAAAUAAAAAUUUAUAUACAUGAAUCUAACAAGGGAUACGGGUAAAUUAUAAGAGAAUAAGUAAAGAAAUUACACAGUAAAAUAUAAGAGAAUAAGUAAUAGAAUUACCAUCUGCGCUCAUAGGAUCUAAUUCCGACCUAAGUUAAGAGAGUGGGUGAGGAUGAGACUUAGGUUGAAUCAAGGAUUUCACUAGGCGUAUCAUCUUAAGGUUCUUCUGGGUUCGCACUCACUUAGCUAGUACGUUGGGAAUGAAUGGACCAGGAACAUGAUCGACCUGAAUCCAUGAUUGGGAGUUCGGACCUCGAUAUGAACGAGGCGAACCAUAUUGAGACCAACGAGUAAAGAAUGGAACUGGAAAAGUAAAAAUCUGAUGGAUUAUCAACUUCGGGGAGUCUAAGUUAUUGUGCCCCUUUGGGGAGUCUGAUCGGUUAUUGUGCCAUUCGGGGAGUCUAAGCUAUUGUGCCCAUCGGGGAUUCUGAGCUAUUGUGCCCUUUGGGGAAUCUGAGUUAUUGUCCAUUCGAGGAAUCUAAAUAUUUGUUCCCUUCGGGGAGUUUGAAUGAUUGUGCCCCGACGAGGCAGUCUGGUCGGGUGAACCCAUGGAGGACCUCAGUUUAAUAUGGAUAAUUAGGAAUGCCCUUUGGGUAGUUGGAAUGGGCGAACCCAUGAGGGAACGAGUCUGAGCCUGACGAGGCGAAUGGCCCGACGGGGCAGUUUGGUCGGAUCACUCCUCUGGGAUGAUUCGAGUCUAGUCGAGAUUGUGUUCUGCACAUGAUCGAGUCUAGGGAAUGGUGAAAGUCAUUCCCAAGAGGGGGUUUGGAACCCUAUACGUCCGGAUGAACGAUCACUACAACACACUCAGAGGAGAACAUGGGUAAUGACUAAAGGGAAUAUAUUUGAAAGAAAAAAAUGAAACAUGUAAAACGUCGAGACAUCCGUACUGAGUUGAAUGAUAACUCAUAUUCGUUCUUGUUUUAAAUUGCAGAUUGAGGGGCACUAGCGCAGGCGUCUCGUAAAUGGUUUACCUGGGAGUUCAUUGUUUUCGCAUUUUGUGUUUUAUGAGAUUUAUAUUAUGAACCCUAAUCUAUGUAAUAAAAUCUUUUAGCCAAUGUUUUAAUAAUAAAUGAAUAAUUUUAAUCUAUGAAAUUACGGGAUGUCACACUGGACGUACAUUCUGG
rnacentral:lncRNA from 1 species